GAGUGGAAAUAACCCCGACAGUGCCAGGCUUGUUGGUGGUCAGGGACAGAUGAUUCCAACCCUGUGCUGAUCGCCUGCCUUCCUCCCACCAUUUAGAAUGAUACUGCCCCUGCUUCUGUCUCUGUACUUAACUCUAAAGGACCCUGGAAGAGGGAGUGGUUCAUCCUAGCUGCAAACAAGGGCGCUAAUGCUUUUUUUUUUUUCUUUAAGAAUUACGUUUUAUAGGUAUGUCUGGGCGAUGCAAGGGAAUGUUAACGACUUUCAGAAAGAAUGUUUGUGAAUACAUUUGGUGUGUACUAAAAAGCUGGAGACCCCUAAAUAAAUGCAGUAUCUAUAGAAAGCGAGUUUCUUGAAGAGUCACCUGCUAAACUCCACUAGCAUCAUCUCUACAGCAUAUUGACAUAGGCAUCAAAAAAACCACAAACUAAUUCUUUUCCAGUGUCCUCAACUACCUCCAUCUUUACUUCAUGAAAUGAUUAAAUAUUGAAUUCUGUACACCAGUUUUGGAAAUCAGAGGAAUAUUUCCAUUCAGGAUCAGAACAGCUAUUUUAAUUUCAUGUUCACAAGUUUGUUAAGUGUAUCCAUUCUUGAUUAGACCAUUUUCUCAAGUCAACAUUCAGAUACAAAGGAGAGAAGUAACACCACGGACUACAUGUUAAUUACUCCAACAAACUCAUUAUAUCCAGUGCUUGCACACAAGCAAAGAUUAUCUGCCAUCCUCUCUCCUUGCAUUCAUCUGUCUUUCCUUAUCUGUGUUCUUUUUCUUUGUCCUCUUGCCAUUUGGUGGCAUAUUCAUUUUUCAAUCACUUUACCUUGGCAUCACUGACAAACCUUACUCUUUUUAUUUUCUCCCACAUCCAGGCUGUUCAUCCAACACAUUUCAAAAUUUUGUUAUUUCUUCCUGUUCCUGUCUUUAAAAGCUGUCACUUCCUUUCUGUUCCUGAAGACAAAAAUCCCCAUCCUAGCAUUUUUAUGUACAACAGCGUGUCCUCUUCUCAAAAUUUAUUCCGUGGUUAAACCACAUAAAUUGGCAAAUAAUGUUCCUAUUUUCCAUUCAAGCUAGAUGAUGGUAUCAACCAACCAUAAGGUCUCCAUGCUAUGGAUGAUCUUAGAAAUAAUAAAAUCCAGGUUCACAAUUAAUGUGGAAAUUGUCUUCGCUGUGAACUAGUAGCUACUCUUUCUCUUUAAUGCUAUAUGGGCCUGUCUUGCAAUUGAUCCUGGAUUUGAAACUGACAGCUGUGAACUAGCAGGAAAAUGAUGUGGCAAGAGUUGCCAUUCCUGAAGAGAAUUCAAAGAAGUUCUUUUUGGGCAGACUGUGCUCACUCAUAGAACACAAAUUUUUGUCUUCUGAGUCCCUUUGGGCCAUAUGGACUUCAAAGUGCAAUAUAUAUACACACAUACAUCUGUAUGUACAUAUAUCCAUGUACAUAAAGAAAAAUACAUAUAUAGUAUUAGAUUUAUAAAUAUAAUAUAAAAUAAAUAUAAUUUACUUUUAUGUAAUUAUAUUAUUUAGAAAUUUAUUUAUGUUAUUUACUUAAGGUACUUAUCUAUUUUUAUAUUUUUAUAUAUAAUGCAAAAAAGGUGUUGCAGUAUACAUUAUACAAAUAUUAUGUAACACUCUAAAUUGCUUCUGGGCAGUACCCUCUAGUCAAAUCCAUGAAUAUUUCUUUACCCAAAUUAUAUAGCAGUCACACUAAGAGAGAUACAUAACAAUUAUGAAGCAUAUUAUGGCCAUCCAUGGUCUGUUUAGAGAUGAGGUAAGUAUUUUGAAAAUAUUGGGUUUUUCAGGCAUUUUAUAUUUUAUUUGUAUGAUAAGCCUGUGUUCACAAAAUAUUUAUUAUUUUUUAAAAAUAUUUAUUCUGAAUCUAAUGUCUUCCAGGUAACCUGUUAGGCAUGGAGAAAAAAAAAUGUCAGGGAGUAAGAAAUAUAAGGCUAAGUUUUUGGUUUCACACAAGUUUCAAGAAAUCUGAGAUUCCAAGUUACUUAUGCCAGAAAGGAUUGUCUUCAGGUGCUCCAUGAGAGGAGGCCUUGAGGCCAUCAGGUACAGGCCUCUGCUCCAUUGCCUCCCAUGCCACCAUAGAAACACUAAUUGGCACUUACUUCACAGCACUGGAAAUAUUUUUACUCAUGCUGUCUCGUUUUACUAGACUGUGAAGUCCCAAAAGCAGGAGUCCUAUUUUACUCAUAUUUUUACUCCCUGUACCCAGCCCAUCGUCUGGAAUAUGAGAAGCACUAAAUAUAUACUUAGUAAUAAGUACAAUGAAAUGAUUUUCACUCAAAUGUUGGGAAAAUAACCAAAACACUUAGUGAUUCUCAAUGUUAUUGUCCAGAUUAUAUUAAAGCUUCUCUUCAGUCCAUCAGAGAAUGUUUAUCAAGAACAUAUAAAUUCAUUACAUGCAAAUGUGGGAAGCAAAUCUGAGUCCUGAUCCUGGUUUCCAGUACUUGAUAUGUCUUUAGGUGGGAACAUAAUGUGAAUGCAAAGUGAAUGCAGGCACAAAAAAAUUAAAGUAAAAAGCACAACAUACUUGUUACAUAGAUAUUCAUCAACAAAAUAUUGAAGAUUUAAUUUGAAUGAAUGAGUAUUUGCUGAAGAAAUGACACUUAUUAUUCUCGGUUGCUACUUUCCUUAUCCUUUAAAUGAAAACAAAAUAAUGGCAACCCUAUACCAUCACUCUGUACAAUUAUUUGAAAAGCAAAAUCAUUUAUUUAAUACAGUAGCUCAGGAAAGGAAGGAAACACAUGUUGAAAAAAAGUAAAGAAAAAAGGUGCAUUGGCAUAUGUUGAGAGAAUGGAAAGAGCAUUUCAGGAAGAGGAAUACUUUUUUUAAGGAUGCAAAUUAAUGUUGUCUACAAGAGGUACAGUGAUAAUUAAAUAUACAUAGAUGGGUUUGGGAAGGCUAAACAGUGAAAGCAUAGUGCUAAUGCCUAGGCAUGAGUAUUAAGGGAGGAGUACAGUUAAAAAUUAGAUCUACUUGUUGUGUUCCAUUCUUAUUUUAUUGAUUCAAUUUGAUGGGACCAUUUUCUUCAACCCAGUAAAACGUGUUUUCAAAACUAAUAUCCAUAAUCAUGUUGAAAAUGUACCACAUUUCACUGGGCAAUAACCAUGCUGAUAUGGAUUACUACAUAUUUACAGAUUUUGAAUCAUAACAUAAAACUUAUUUGCAAGAGUUUCAGCAAAAUUAGCUUUCAGGAGAGGGGGGAUUCAGAACCAGACAGGACUGGAAACAUGAUUAAGAAUUCAGAAGUUGCCUGUGGGGAAUUUAGGGAAUUCAAAAGCUUGGUUAUAUCUGCUUAGGAGAAGAAUGGUGAUACUCAGGCCUGUGUCCCCAUCUUGGUUUCAGGAGAUUUGCCUAAUUACAAAGGCUCUCCAGGUAGAGUAGUACUGUAGACCACAGGCUUUGAGAGAAGGAGGCAAGCACUGAUUAACAGAAGCCCAAUGGUGUGCCUGGGUGGCUCAGUCGGUUGGGCAUCCGACUUCAGCUAGGGUCAUGAUCUUGCAGUUUGUGAGUUUGAGCCCCAUGUCGGGCUCUGUGCUGACAGUUCAGAGUCUGGAGCCUGCUUCCGAUUCUGUAUCUCCCUCUCUCUUCCCCUUCCCUGC